rnacentral:rRNA from 1 species
UACGUAGGUGGCAAGCGUUGUCCGGAUUUACUGGGCGUAAAGAGCGCGCAGGCGGUCGUUCAAGUCGCGUGUGAAAGCCCCCGGCUCAGCUGGGGAGGGUCACGCGAUACUGAUCGACUCGAAGGCAGGAGAGGGUAGUGGAAUUCCCGGUGUAGUGGUGAAAUGCGUAGAUAUCGGGAGGAACACCAGUGGCGAAGGCGACUACCUGGCCUGUUCUUGACGCUGAGGCGCGAGAGCGUGGGGGAGGCAAACCGG